GGCUGUUUGGUGAGAACGAUGAAGACCCCAGCGUAGAGAAUACAUUCAAAUAUGCUCUUUACAGAUUAAAUCAUGACCGCACGAUUUUGGAAAAGACAAAGGUCAUAUAUGACAUCCAGCGUGUACCUCCACACGACGGCUUUUUAGCAUCUAAGAAAGUAUGUUUCCAAG
rnacentral:lncRNA from 1 species